CACUUCUUUCUAACAGUCAGAUUUUCCUUCUCCUCUCUCUCCUCCUUAGAUGAAUCAAAAGCUAGUCAAGGGAAGGAUGGAGAACACAGCAGUGAGAGUGCCCUCCAGCUGGGCACAUGGAAAGACGGGGAAGCUUUCUGUCCGUGGAGUAGGAAUGGUUUUCUGUGAGACCAGCUGCCAUCUGGCCCCAGAGCUGCUCAAUACACUUGAGCUAAUCUAACAGCUCUGUCAGAAAUCAAAACACGUCUCUUCACCCAAUGGGGCCCAAAGGCACCACACAGAGCAGAUCUCCACAUGUAGCCAUGGAGGAGCCCAUGGUGCAGCAGUGGAUGUGGCCUGAAGGAGGUACAGCCCCUGGAGAGCCCCUACAAGAGCUGCCCAUGAAGAGGAGCCUGUAGUGGGGCAGGAGGGCUGGGGGAGCUGCUGCCUGUGGAGACCCAUGCUGGAGCAGUGCCUGAAGGGUGGGCCCUGUGGUACAGAGUCAUAUUAGGGCAGUGCUUGGAGAGCUGCAGCCUGUGGAAGCCCACGUGGGAUCAGUUUGGGAAGAAUGGCACCCAUGGGAAGGAGCCUGUGUGGUGCAGGACACAGAGUGACUAUGAAGGAGCGGCAGAAAUGAAGCAGUAUGGACUGACUACAGCCUCAUUCUCCAAUCUGUGGAGGAGGUAGGAGAUGGUGAACGGUAGGAAGGUGUUGUACUUCGCUUUUAGCUCUCACUGUUCUAGUCUGUUAUCAAUAGGAAAUGAUCUCCCCAAGUUGAGUCCGUUUUGUUCAUAAUGGUAACUGAAUUAAAGAAUUGUAGAACCAUUAAUGUUGGAAAAGAUCACUAGGAUCUUCUACUCCAGCUGCCAACCCAUGCCCACUAUGCCCACUAACCGUGUCCCUCAGUGCCACAUCUCCACAGUUCUUGAACACCUACAGGGAUGGUGACUCCACCACCUCCUGGGCAGCCCGUUCCAAUGAUUCACCUCUCCUUCUGUAGAAAGAAUUGGUGACUGAUCUCCCUGCCAUUACCUCAACACAUACCCUCAUCACAUUUUCCCUGCCUGUCCUGCUGAGGAGGAGCAGUGAGAAAGCAGUGGUGGGGCUGAGCUCCCUAGAGCUGCAAAGCCAGCACCCUGCCCUCAUCCCCAGCCAUGGCACAGCCCAGCUUCUGACACAGGUCUGUGAAGACAGCUGAUGUUUUGCUCCUGGUGCUAUGUUGGGCUGUGCUUGCCUUAGAU
rnacentral:lncRNA from 1 species